rnacentral:rRNA from 3 species
GGGUUGUGAGGUUAAGCGACUAAGCGUACACGGUGGAUGCCCUGGCAGUCAGAGGCGAUGAAGGACGUGCUAAUCUGCGAUAAGCGCCGGUAAGGUGAUAUGAACCGUUAUAACCGGCGAUUUCCGAAUGGGGAAACCCAGUGUGACUCGUCACACUAUCAUUAACUGAAUCCAUAGGUUAAUGAGGCGAACCGGGGGAACUGAAACAUCUAAGUACCCCGAGGAAAAGAAAUCAACCGAGAUUCCCCCAGUAGCGGCGAGCGAACGGGGAGGAGCCCAGAGCCUGAAUCAGCAUGUGUGUUAGUGGAAGCGUCUGGAAAGGCGCGCGAUACAGGGUGACAGCCCCGUACACAAAAGCGCAUGUGCUGUGAGCUCGAUGAGUAGGGCGGGACACGUGGUAUCCUGUCUGAAUAUGGGGGGACCAUCCUCCAAGGCUAAAUACUCCUGACUGACCGAUAGUGAACCAGUACCGUGAGGGAAAGGCGAAAAGAACCCCGGCGAGGGGAGUGAAAAAGAACCUGAAACCGUGUACGUACAAGCAGUGGGAGCACAGGUUUACCUGUGUGACUGCGUACCUUUUGUAUAAUGGGUCAGCGACUUAUAUUCUGUAGCAAGGUUAACCGUAUAGGGGAGCCGGAGGGAAACCGAGUCUUAAUUGGGCGUUAAGUUGCAGGGUAUAGACCCGAAACCCGGUGAUCUAGCCAUGGGCAGGUUGAAGGUUGGGUAACACUAACUGGAGGACCGAACCGACUAAUGUUGAAAAAUUAGCGGAUGACCUGUGGCUGGGGGUGAAAGGCCAAUCAAACCGGGAGAUAGCUGGUUCUCCCCGAAAGCUAUUUAGGUAGCGCCUCGUGAAUUCAUCUCCGGGGGUAGAGCACUGUUUCGGCUAGGGGGCCAUCCCGGCUUACCAACCCGAUGCAAACUGCGAAUACCGGAGAAUGUUAUCACGGGAGACACACGGCGGGUGCUAACGUCCGUCGUGAAGAGGGAAACAACCCAGACCGCCAGCUAAGGUCCCAAAGUCAUGGUUAAGUGGGAAACGAUGUGGGAAGGCCCAGACAGCCAGGAUGUUGGCUUAGAAGCAGCCAUCAUUUAAAGAAAGCGUAAUAGCUCACUGGUCGAGUCGGCCUGCGCGGAAGAUGUAACGGGGCUAAACCAU